UUGCUCUUCAACGAGGAAUUCCUAGUAAGCGUGAGUCAUCAGCUCGCGUUGAUUACGUCCCUGCCCUUUGUACACACCGCCCGUCGCUACUACCGAUUGAAUGGCUUAGUGAGGUCUUGGGAUUGGCUUCGGGGAGCCGGAAACGGCACCUUGUUGCUGAGAACUUGAUCAAACUUGGUCAUUUAGAGGAAGUAAAAGUCGUAACAAGGUUUCCGUAGGUGAACCUGCGGAAGGAUCAUUAAUGAAUGAAAUUGAGUGAGGUUGUAGCUGGCCUUUCACCGGGCAUGUGCACACCUCAUUCGACCACCUUCUACACCCCUGUGCACUUCUCAUGAGUUGGGCCGCGUCUGAAACACGACAAAGUCCGGCUCGUGUGUUUUAUACAAACGAAUCAUGUUACAGAAUGUCACUACCAUGCUUUGAAGCAUAUAAUACAACUUUCAACAACGGAUCUCUUGGCUCUCGCAUCGAUGAAGAACGCAGCGAAAUGCGAUAAGUAAUGUGAAUUGCAGAAUUCAGUGAAUCAUCGAAUCUUUGAACGCACCUUGCGCUCCUUGGUAUUCCGAGGAGCAUGCUUGUUUGAGUGUCAUGGUCUUCUCAACCCUUCCGUCUUCUUCACCGGAGGCUGUCGGGCUUGGAUGUGGAGGUCUUGCAGGCAUCUGGAUCUUUUGAUUCAGAAGUCGGCUCCUCUGAAAUGCAUUAGCUUGAAUAGUACCAAGCAUGAUUCAGCGUGAUAAUUGUCUACGUUGCUUCAUCUCGGUGAAUUUAAUGUUCAAGCUUCCAACCGUCCCUCGGGACAAUCUCUGAACAUCUGACCUCAAAUCAAGUAGGACUACCCGCUGAACUUAAGCAUAUCAAUAAGCGGAGGA
rnacentral:rRNA from 1 species